GAUCUACUCCCUCCAUCCAGAAAUACUUGUCGGAGAAAUGCAUAAAAAUGAAUGUAUCUAAAACUAGAAUACAUCUAGAUACAUCCAUUCCUCCGACGAGUAUUUCCGGACGGAGGGAGUAUUCA
rnacentral:pre_miRNA from 1 species